rnacentral:rRNA from 1 species
GACGAACGCUGGCGGCGUGCCUAAUACAUGCAAGUAGAACGCUGAAGGGAGGAGCUUGCUCUUCUUGGAUGAGUUGCGAACGGGUGAGUAACGCGUAGGUAACCUGCCUUGUAGCGGGGGAUAACUAUUGGAAACGAUAGCUAAUCCGCAUAACAAUGGAUGACCCAUGUCAUUUAUUUGAAAGGGGCAAAUGCUCCACUACAAGAUGGACCUGCGUUGUAUUAGCUAGUAGGUGAGGUAACGGCUCACCUAGGCGACGAUACAUAGCCGACCUGAGAGGGUGAUCGGCCACACUGGGACUGAGACACGGCCCAGACUCCUACGGGAGGCAGCAGUAGGGAAUCUUCGGCAAUGGGGGCAACCCUGACCGAGCAACGCCGCGUGAGUGAAGAAGGUUUUCGGAUCGUAAAGCUCUGUUGUAAGUCAAGAACGAGUGUGAGAGUGGAAAGUUCACACUGUGACGGUAGCUUACCAGAAAGG